AGGGGAGCGUUCUGUAAGCCUGUGAAGGUGGCCUGUGAGGGUUGCUGGAGGUAUCAGAAGUGCGAAUGCUGACAUAAGUAACGAUAAAGCGGGUGAAAAGCCCGCUCGCCGGAAGACCAAGGGUUCCUGUCCAACGUUAAUCGGGGCAGGGUGAGUCGACCCCUAAGGCGAGGCCGAAAGGCGUAGUCGAUGGGAAACGGGUUAAUAUUCCCGUACUUGGUGUUACUGCGAAGGGGGGACGGAGAAGGCUAUGUUGGCCGGGCGACGGUUGUCCCGGUUUAAGCGUGUAGGUGUGUGUUCCAGGUAAAUCCGGUUCACUUUAACACUGAGGCGUGACGACGAGGCACUACGGUGCUGAAGCAACAAAUGCCCUGCUUCCAGGAAAAGCCUCUAAGCAUCAGGUAACAUCAAAUCGUACCCCAAACCGACACAGGUGGUCAGGUAGAGAAUACCAAGGCGCUUGAGAGAACUCGGGUGAAGGAACUAGGCAAAAUGGUGCCGUAACUUCGGGAGAAGGCACGCUGACACGUAGGUGAAGUGAUUUACUCAUGGAGCUGAAGUCAGUCGAAGAUACCAGCUGGCUGCAACUGUUUAUUAAAAACACAGCACUGUGCAAACACGAAAGUGGACGUAUACGGUGUGACGCCUGCCCGGUGCCGGAAGGUUAAUUGAUGGGGUCAGCGCAAGCGAAGCUCCUGAUCGAAGCCCCGGUAAACGGCGGCCGUAACUAUAACGGUCCUAAGGUAGCGAAAUUCCUUGUCGGGUAAGUUCCGACCUGCACGAAUGGCGUAAUGAUGGCCAGGCUGUCUCCACCCGAGACUCAGUGAAAUUGAACUCGCUGUGAAGAUGCAGUGUACCCGCGGCAAGACGGAAAGACCCCGUGAACCUUUACUAUAGCUUGACACUGAACAUUGAGCCUUGAUGUGUAGGAUAGGUGGGAGGCUUUGAAGUGUGGACGCCAGUCUGCAUGGAGCCGACCUUGAAAUACCACCCUUUAAUGUUUGAUGUUCUAACGUGGACCCGUAAUCCGGGUUGCGGACAGUGUCUGGUGGGUAGUUUGACUGGGGCGGUCUCCUCCUAAAGAGUAACGGAGGAGCACGAAGGUUGGCUAAUCCUGGUCGGACAUCAGGAGGUUAGUGCAAUGGCAUAAGCCAGCUUGACUGCGAGCGUGACGGCGCGAGCAGGUGCGAAAGCAGGUCAUAGUGAUCCGGUGGUUCUGAAUGGAAGGGCCAUCGCUCAACGGAUAAAAGGUACUCCGGGGAUAACAGGCUGAUACCGCCCAAGAGUUCAUAUCGACGGCGGUGUUUGGCACCUCGAUGUCGGCUCAUCACAUCCUGGGGCUGAAGUAGGUCCCAAGGGUAUGGCUGUUCGCCAUUUAAAGUGGUACGCGAGCUGGGUUUAGAACGUCGUGAGACAGUUCGGUCCCUAUCUGCCGUGGGCGCUGGAGAACUGAGGGGGGCUGCUCCUAGUACGAGAGGACCGGAGUGGACGCAUCACUGGUGUUCGGGUUGUCAUGCCAAUGGCACUGCCCGGUAGCUAAAUGCGGAAGAGAUAAGUGCUGAAAGCAUCUAAGCACGAAACUUGCCCCGAGAUGAGUUCUCCCUGAGACUUAGAGUCUCCUGAAGGAACGUUGAAGACGACGACGUUGAUAGGCCGGGUGUGUAAGCGCAGCGAUGCGUUGAGCUAACCGGUACUAAUGAACCGUGAGG
rnacentral:rRNA from 1 species